GAGAGAGAUGACAUAACCACAUAGCUAGAGUUCUUAUCGAUGAGGACAGCCAUGGAUGAAUGAUUCAAUCGUGAGUGGUUUUGUUUGGCAUGGAGACACGCACGUGAACUCAGUUUCUUCCCUUCACUUCACCAAACAAUACCAAGGAGAAAAUGACUUCUUCCGCUAUAAUAGCACAGCGGGAGUCUCCCCAAAGAGAGUUAACUCGUAAAGAGCAUGGGACAUAGCAUGUCUUUUGGCCUUAGGGUUUGGGGUCCGUCUUGGGUCUCUCUCAUCUAUAUUAGCUGCAGAAUCAUAGGCAUGGGCUGGUACAUGUUUCCCCGUCCCCUUAGUUACGCAAUAAUAGACUCUCUCUCUCUCUCUCUGCAACGCCAUGCCGCACUUCUAUAUAUACUUGGUUUUCUACACAUUUUUUCGUCGAUCCGGCCAAAAGAAUAGGAAGUUUUUAUAUUUUGGCUAUAUAAAUAAUGAGAUCUUCCCGCAUCGUUUUCUUAUCAUGUCUACUUUCAACCGCUUUCUAUUUCUGUUCCCCAACUCUAAUUACUACCUCAUCUUCCUUUAUUGAGCUCCCUGCAGGCCGUCCGUCCGUGAGGAAACUGAGCAUGUUAAGUCCCUACGACAAGCAUAAAUAUCACAAGGUAAAGAUCGGUGAAGAUCAGAUUAAAGGAUCAAGUACCGUCGCAGAAGGCUCAAUGGCACUCAAACGUACAAGAAGCGGCCAGGACAACUUAGAUCAUGAGUUUGUCUACCACAUUGAUUAUCAUGGGGUGACAACACAUCCGACCCCAACUCCGAGGCACCCUAAACCUUAAGACAGUUUAGGAGUGCUAAUUAUAAUUCGUUUCUAUAUAUGAGGAUGAAUAUGCAGCACUACUUUGUAUUAGUAUGUUUGAAUAUAGAUGAGAAGUUCAAGUCCUGAGACAUAAAUAGGUACUAUUUUAAACAUACAUAUUGUUUUCUCAACCAAAACGAUUGCCCAGAAACGCUAAUAAUGAAGGAGAUCCGUACUUGUUACAAAGAAACAAAAACCAAUCUAUGAUUGUAAAGAUAGUAAGAGGUGCCGAUUUUCUCUUUUUUCUGUGUGUUUUUUUUUCCCAGUGCAAGUAGGUUGGAGAUCAGUAUUUGUUACGAAGAAACAAAAACCAAUCUAUGAUUGUAAAGAUAGUAAGAGGUGCCGAUUUUCUCUUU